rnacentral:rRNA from 1 species
AAUUGACGGGGCCGCACAAGCGGUGGAGCACGUGGUUUAAUUCGAAGCAACGCGAAGAACCUUACCAGGUCUUGACAUCCCGAUGCUAUUUCUAGAGAUAGAAAGUUACUUCGGUACAUCGGUGACAGGUGGUGCAUGGUUGUCGUCAGCUCGUGUCGUGAGAUGUUGGGUUAAGUCCCGCAACGAGCGCAACCCCUAUUGUUAGUUGCCAUCAUUCAGUUGGGCACUCUAGCGAGACUGCCGGUAAUAAACCGGAGGAAGGUGGGGAUGACGUCAAAUCAUCAUGCCCCUUAUGACCUGGGCUACACACGUGCUACAAUGGUUGGUACAACGAGUUGCGAGUCGGUGACGGCGAGCUAAUCUCUUAAAGCCAAUCUCAGUUCGGAUUGUAGGCUGCAACUCGCCUACAUGAAGUCGGAAUCGCUAGUAAUCGCGGAUCAGCACGCCGCGGUGAAUACGUUCCCGGGCCUU